AAGGGGAGCAAUCCCUGAGUAAAGUGGCGACCGGGUGAGUAACACGUGACUAACCUACCCUCGAGUGUGGAAUAACAUCGGGAAACCGAUGCUAAUACCGCAUAACAUCGCAAGAUCAAAGCCGCGAGGCGCUUGAGGAGGGGGUCGCGGCUGAUUAGCUAGUUGGCGGGGUAACGGCCCACCAAGGCGAAGAUCGGUAGCCGGCCUGAGAGGGCGCACGGCCACACUGGAACUGAAACACGGUCCAGACUCCUACGGGAGGCAGCAGUGGGGAAUUUUGCGCAAUGGGGGAAACCCUGGCGCAGCAACGCCGCGUGGAGGAUGAAGCCCCUUGGG
rnacentral:rRNA from 1 species